UACGUAGGGUGCGAGCGUUGUCCGGAAUUAUUGGGCGUAAAGAGCUCGUAGGCGGUCUGUUGCGUCGGUUGUGAAAACCUGGGGCUCAACUCCAGGCCUGCAAUCGAUACGGGCAGACUAGAGUUCGGUAGGGGAGACUGGAAUUCCUGGUGUAGCGGUGAAAUGCGCAGAUAUCAGGAGGAACACCGGUGGCGAAGGCGGGUCUCUGGGCCGAAACUGACGCUGAGGAGCGAAAGCGUGGGGAGCGAACAGG
rnacentral:rRNA from 1 species